rnacentral:lncRNA from 1 species
ACUUUGGAUAUUUUGAGAAAUACUUUUCUUUGCUGUUGAGUUCUUUCUAGCGUAGGAAAUUCUCUGGCCAAAGUCCUCAUUCUCUAUCUUUCCUUUCACCACCUAGUUCCUUCCAAGAAUGGAAGCCGACUGAACUAGUUUCUUCCCUCUCCGAUCUGCAUCCAUCAAUUCGUUUACAUGAUCCAACCUCCACCGCUGCAUUUGGUUUCUUCACUCUGAUGCUGCAGACGCACUCUGUGCCAUUCAAUGUAUGAGAUGCAAGCUCUAUCAGGAAGCUCAG